rnacentral:misc_RNA from 1 species
CUGAGGGGCCCCCGCGUUCGCGCGAGGGCUCCCCGAGAUAGAACCCCUACCUUUGCUUACCAUCGUUUCCUCGGCGGGUCCGCCCGCCAGCGAGGACAACCCAAACCCCUUCUUGCAGUUAGUAGUACCCGUCAGAAAACACAAUCGUUUA